rnacentral:rRNA from 1 species
AGAGUUUGAUCAUGGCUCAGAGCGAACNNUGNNGGCAUUAACACAUGCAAGUCGCACGGGCAGCUUUGGCUGUCAGUGGCGGACGGGUGAGUAACGCGUAGGUAUCUAUCCUCGGGUGGGGGACAACCACGGGAAACUGUGGCUAAUACCGCAUGAUGACUGAGGUCCAAAGGCGCAAGUCGCCUGGGGAGGAGCCUGCGUCCGAUUAGCUUGUUGGUGGGGUAAAGGCCUACCAAGGCUCCGAUCGGUAGCUGGUCUGAGAGGAUGAUCAGCCACACUGGGACUGAGACACGGCCCAGACUCCUACGGGAGGCAGCAGUGGGGAAUAUUGGACAAUGGGCGAAAGCCUGAUCCAGCAAUGCCGCGUGGGUGAAGAAGGUCUUCGGAUUGUAAAGCCCUUUCGACGGGGACGAUGAUGACGGUACCCGUAGAAGAAGCCCCGGCUACUUCGUGCCAGCAGCCGCGGUAAUACGAAGGGGGCUAGCGUUGCUCGGAUUGACUGGGCGUAAAGGGCGCGUAGGCGGAUAGUACAGUCAGGCGUGAAAUUCCUGGGCUCAACCUGGGGGCUGCGUUUGAUACGUGUUGUCUGGAGUUCGGAAGAGGGUCGUGGAAUUCCCAGUGUAGAGGUGAAAUUCGUAGAUAUUGGGAAGAACACCGGUGGCGAAGGCGGCGACCUGGUCCGAUACUGNNNNUGAGGCGCGAAAGCGUGGGGANNAAACAGGAUUAGAUACCCUAGUAGUCC